ensembl:lncRNA
AACCCUGCACCUAGCCUCAACCCUGCACCUUAACCCUGCACCUAGCCUCAACCCUGCACCUAGCCUCAACCCUGCACCUUAACCCUGCACCUAGCCUCAACCCUGCACCUAGCCUCAACCUAGGCCUGGUAACAGGUAACUCAUGACAAUAUCUGUGUGUAGGAUGGGUUGCAUUUAUGCAACAACAAACAAACAGUUUCAAAGUGCUUUGCUGAUGUUGUAUCAUGUCUGCGUUGUGGAGGUUGUAGUGAUGUCUGUGUUGUGGAGGUUGUAGUGAUGUUGUAUCAUGUCUGUGUUGUGGAGGUUGUAGUGAUGUUGUAUCAUGUCUGUGUUGUGGAGGUUGUAGUGAUGUUGUAUCAUGUCUGUGUUGUGGAGGUUGUAGUGAUGUUGUAUCAUGUCUGCGUUGUGGAGGUUGUAGUGAUGUUGUAUCAUGUCUGUGUUGUGGAGGUUGUAGUGAUGUUGUAUCAUGUCUGUGUUGUGGAGGUUGUAGUGAUGUUGUAUCAUGUCUGUGUUGUGGAGGUUGUAGUGAUGUUGUAUCAUGUCUGUGUUGUGGAGGUUGUAGUGAUGUUGUAUCAUGUAUGUGUUGUGGAGGUUGUAGUGAUGUUGUAUCAUGUCUGUGUUGUGGAGGUUGUAGUGAUGUUGUAUCAUGUCUGUGUUGUGGAGGUUGUAGUGAGGUUGUGAUGUUGUAUCAUGUCUGUUGUGAAGGUUGUAAUGAUGUUGUAUCAUGUCUGUGUUGUGGAGGUUGUAGUGAUGUUGUGGAGGUUGUAGUGAUGUUGUAUCAUGUCUGUUGUGGAGGUUGUAGUGAGGUUGUAGUGAUGUUGUAUCAUGUCUGUGUUGUGGAGGUUGUAGUGAUGUUGUAUCAUGUCUGUGUUGUGGAGGUUGUAGUGAUGUUGAAGUGAUGUUGUAUCAUGUCUGUGUUGUGGAGGUUGUAGUGAUGUUGUAUCAUGUCUGUGUUGUGGAGGUUGUAGUGAUGUUGUAUCAUGUCUGUUGUGGAGGUUGUAGUGAUGUUGUAUCAUGUCUGUGUUGUGGAGGUUGUAGUGAUGUUGUAUCAUGUCUGUGUUAUUUAGGUUGGGGGUGUUGUUCACUCCUCUGCUUCCUGCUGUACAGAUCAUCAAACUACUGCUUCUCUUCUACAUGAAGCAGGAAGCAGGUAGGUUCUCUGCUCUGAUCACUGUGCCAUGAUCAUACUGGUAACUUCUCUUCUACAUGAAGCAGGUAGGUACACCUCUGUUCUGAUCACUGUGCCAUGAUCAUACUGGUAACUUCUCUUCUACAUGAAGCAGGUAGGUACACCUCUGUUCUGAUCACUGUGCCAUGAUCAUACUGGUAACUUCUCUUCUACAGGAAGCAGGUAGGUACACCUCUGUUCUGAUCACUGUGCCAUGAUCAUACUGGUAACUUCUAUUCUACAUGAAGCAGGUAGGUACACCUCUGUUCUGAUCACUGUGCCAUGAUCAUACUGGUAACUUCUCUUCUACAGGAAGCAGGUAGGUUCUCUGCUCUGAUCACUGUGCCAUGAUCAUACUGCUAACUGGAC